rnacentral:rRNA from 1 species
UGAUGAAGCGGAAGGGUAACCGACCGUGGAGAUAUCAGAAGUGCGAAUGCUGACAUGAGUAGCGAUAAAGAGGGUGAGAUGCCCUCUCGCCGAAAGACCAAGGGUUCCUGCUCAACGCUAAUCGGAGCAGGGUUAGCCGGCCCCUAAGACGAGCCCGAAGGGGGUAGUCGAUGGGAACCACGUAAAUAUUCGUGGGCCUGGUGGUGUGUGACGGAUGCUGGAAGUUGUUCAUCCUUAUUGGAUUGGGUGGGCAGCCAAGGUGUUCCAGGAAAUAGCCCCACCGUAUAGACCGUACCCGAAACCGACACAGGUGGUCAGGUAGAGUAUACCAAGGCGCUUGAGAGAAGUAUCCUGAAGGAACUCGGCAAAUUGCCUCCGUACCUUCGGAAGAAGGAGGCCCUGG